UCACCCCCUGCCACACCCCAACCCCAAUUUUGUGAGCAUUCAUGGCUCGCUAUACGAUUUCUAUUCCCAGAUGUGGCCCUCAGGCCAAAAAGUUUGCCUACCCCUGGCUAGAGCCUGUUCCCAAGGCUGCCCCCAUUCCCAGGACUCCCUCCUUGGGCUGCUCUGCUCCCCACGGUGCAGCCACUGAGCACAGGCAUUUCACUGAGGUACCAUGGGAUGCCUCUGGUCUCAGCCUUAUCCCCUGUGCCUCCCUAGUGCCCCUUACCCUGCGCUUUGGGGCAAGGACCAUCUCUCUCUGUUCUGGCCAGUGGCCAGCACACUUUGGGGUGAUGAAGAAUGAAGGGUAGAGUGGAGACUGCCCGGAGCAGGGACUUGGCCCCUCUGUGCAGCUUUACACAACCUCCAUCCUCCGUCACUAAUAAUCCACUUCCAUCUGCAGGGAGAUGGAGCCAGAAGUCCCCUCUCCUGCCCGCAGGGUGGCAGAGAACUCCAGGCACAGCACUGGAAUGGAUACACCCCUCCCUCGACACCAGCUUUUUCUGCAUGUUGAAGAACACAGGGAGAAGGGGCACAUGAGCUGUACGAAGCAUGUUCGACGUGAGAGCAGCUCUCAAGCAGGAUUUAUCAGAUAGGUCUUGGCACCAAAUGUCACUUUAGGGCUGUGCUCCCUCUAUCUCCUUGCACCGUAGGAGCCAGUUUCAGCUCCUGUGACAGCCUCUAGCAGGAGGAACUGCACUGAUGAUAUGCUGAGCAGGUCUAGUGCCAGUCGGAGGAUCUGGGGGCACAGUGCUACGGUGCCAUUAUCCCAGCUUACGUUUUUGUAAAUGUUUGUUCCCCCAACUCGUUUCUGGAGCAGGAUGCAAGAUCUUGUGAACAACAGUGCCGAGGGACUGCGCCCACCCCAGCAGCUACAGGGGCCACGGGGAAGGGGACGAGGGAGCCUCCCCAUGAAAUGUACGAAGCAGCAGCUCUAACCUGAGGUAGCUGGGCUGGAGUCACUCACUCCUUCCAGGGCCUGACAGCCUCCUUUGAAAUAGAGAGAUCGCUCCGGACCCCCAGUGCCCCGGCUGCGACACAGGCUCUGCACAAAGGCCUGCUGCUAAGUUACAUUUAGAAUAAUGUCCCUCCACAUCAGUUGUGGGAAGAGCCACCCAGCUGGAGAUGGUGCAUGGCCUGCUGGGAACUGUAGUUCUCACGCCUGCCACCCUGGUACGCAAUAGGGAAGGAGGAGCUGUGCUCUGCAGGAUUUUCCCCUCGGCCUGGGGCCUGGCAUGCAAUAAGCCCAUGCUUCCUCCUGCUGGGAGGAAGUGUGUUCAGGAGGUCUUUCCACUCCAUCCUUAGGGGUCCCAGUUUAACUCCCCACCAUCCUGGGUCUCAGGCCGUAUUUAUACCCCCACAAUCUCAGGCACCUCAGGCCAGACUCUUGCAAGCUCAACUCCUGGGCUAGAGAGAGUGCCAAAGCUUCCCUAUUUCUCUGGCUACCUCCCCUCCACCCCUGCUUCCCUCAUACCUGGGGCCAGGACAGGCUCCAUAACAUUCUCUGCAGGGUUCUUCCAGGCUGGGGAGAUACUGCUCCAAGCAACCCUAAACCCCAUUCUUGUGACUGCCCCAAACAUCGAGCCUGUGCUUGGUCUUGCCCCCGUUUGCAUUCUUUUCUCCCCAAGUUUGCUAGGUCACAGGGCUAGAGCCAUUGCCCCCUGCCCGUUUCCUGCCAUCCAAUCCCACAGUGCAGCGAAAACACUGAGCAGCCACUUCCAGUCACCUGCCCUGAGCCCCAAGCAAGGCCUUCACAGCAGGGUGCAGCAAGGCAGGCAGUGGCUCAUUCAAAGCCAGGGGAGC